UACGUAGGUGGCAAGCGUUGUCCGGAUUUACUGGGCGUAAAGCGCGCGUAGGCGGUUUGGAAAGUCCGUGGUGAAAUCUCCUGGCUCAACCAGGAGGGGUCUGCGGAUACUCCCAGACUUGAGUGCCGUAAAGGAAGGUGGAAUUCCCGGUGUAGUGGUGAAAUGCGUAGAUAUCGGGAGGAACACCAAUAGCGAAGGCAGCUCGCUGGGACGGUACUGACGCUAAGGCGCGAAAGCGUGGGGAGCGAACAGG
rnacentral:rRNA from 1 species